UUGGAAAUCAUUCAUAGAGUGUAAAGGCAUAAGGGAGCUUGACUGCGAGACCUACAAGUCGAGCAGGGUCGAAAGACGGACUUAGUGAUCCGGUGGUUCCGCAUGGAAGGGCCAUCGCUCAACGGAUAAAAGCUACCCCGGGGAUAACAGGCUUAUCUCCCCCAAGAGUUCACAUCGACGGGGAGGUUUGGCACCUCGAUGUCGGCUCAUCGCAUCCUGGGGCUGUAGUCGGUCCCAAGGGUUGGGCUGUUCGCCCAUUAAAGCGGUACGCGAGCUGGGUUCAGAACGUCGUGAGACAGUUCGGUCCCUAUCCGUCGUGGGCGUAGGAAAUUUGAGAGGAGCUGUCCUUAGUACGAGAGGACCGGGAUGGACAUACCUCUGGUGUACCAGUUGUCGUGCCAACGGCAUAGCUGGGUAGCUAUGUAUGGACGGGAUAAGUGCUGAAAGCAUCUAAGCAUGAAGCCCCCCUCGAGAUGAGAUUUCCCAACUUCGGUUAUAAGAUCCCUCAAAGAUGAUGAGGUGAAU
rnacentral:rRNA from 1 species